rnacentral:rRNA from 1 species
ACAGAUCGUUCAGAGUUUGAUCCUGGCUCAGGAUGAACGCUGGCGGCGUGCUUAACACAUGCAAGUCGAGCGAAGCAUUUACGAUGAAGUUUUCGGAUGGAAUCGUAUUUGACUGAGCGGCGGACGGGUGAGUAACGCGUGGGUAACCUGCCCUAUGCAGGGGGAUAACAGCUAGAAAUGGCUGCUAAUACCGCAUAAGACCACAGCGCCACAUGGCGCAGGGGUAAAAACUCCGGUGGCAUAGGAUGGACCCGCGUCUGAUUAGCUAGUUGGUGGGGUAACGGCCCACCAAGGCGACGAUCAGUAGCCGACCUGAGAGGGUGACCGGCCACAUUGGGACUGAGACACGGCCCAA